GCCACAACUCUGUGAUUUUUAUUUGUCCCCUCAUGCUUGGUGAACUCUUCCUAUGCUACUUCUCCAGGUCUUCCUUUUAAUGGUAACCAAGGCAUUGGUAACCAAGUAACUGAAAACCUGGUAACCAGGUUUCUGAGGUUUCCUUUGUUCCAAAAGCUGCAUAAAUGCUCUCAGAUUCUUACUGUAACUCUCCAAUACAGGGAAUGUUGUCCCUCAUUUAGAGAGAAAGAAAUCUAGCCUGAGAAAGAUUCAACUUUCCAAGAUGACAAGUGAGGGAGUCAAGAUUGGAACCAGGUGUGCCUAACUCUGCAGCCUCUACACCACAUCAGCCAUAUUGCUAUUAAUAUCAUGUCAUAUUUCAUGUAUGUAAGCCGUAUGCCAAUGGAUAACACAUAGUCCAUAGUAAAUGCUAAGUAAAUGUUAAUGACUAUUAUAAAUAGAUGAUUAGCAAUUGAUUAGAUGAUGAUUAAUUAAUGCAAGUGUUCUUUUAACCCAUGGACAUUUUCAGGCCAAAAAACAAAAAAAAAGUAAAGCAAAGAAAAAUUUACCUUAUAUUUAUUCAGGAAAGGGGAUUUUCAAAAGGUUAUAUAUUAAGCCAGAAUCCAGGCAUGUUUUUAAUAAAACCAGAUGGUUGAGAGAUAACUGGGAAGAGGACAUGGGUUCAUUCCAGAAGUACAGCUGGGCUCCUCCUCAGCAUAAUCUCCAAAAGAGGGACAUUUCAAUGAUGUUUUUAAAGGUCGUGUGUUGAUGUGCUGGGAUGAUAGUUGCUAAGGCUAUGAUGAAGCAACAUUAAAAGCAGAACGGUGAAAACAACACCAUGAGCCAUGGAGAGAUGGAGAAGGUGAACGCAUGUUUUGGCAUUACAUCUGGCAUCCAGCCCUCAUCAAGGGAAAGGCUUCUGACUCCUGCCAGCAAAGGACUUAGUUGCUUUCAAGCGGAUUUUAUUCACCUGGAUAGUCAUGCAUCUAAAACAAGCAGAGAGGAGGCUACCCCAACCCAGAGUCUCCACACACAACUCUCAAUACAAUGUGUAUUGAUGACAGCCUGAAGCAGGCUUGACUUCAGUCCUCAGGAGAAAAAUAUGCAACUCUUUUUUUUUUUUUUUUUUUUGAGACGGAGUUUCGCUCUUGUUACCAGGCUGGAGCGCAAUGGCACGAUCUCGGCUCACCGCAACCUCCGCCUCCUGGGUUCAGGCAAUUCUCCUGCCUCAGCCUCCCGUGCAACUCUUUAUAACAACUGGAGUUCUCCAGAUUUCCGAAGUUCAUAGAUCCAAUGUAGUGAAAGACAAUUUCUGGUGAGCAUUGAAAUUAAAAAUGAGAAACAAAUUUCAGAAACCUCUUGACUGACUGUUAUUACUUCAUAAAAUAAGGACAUUUUAACAACAAAAAAGGAAGAAGAUUAUAAC
rnacentral:lncRNA from 13 species